rnacentral:rRNA from 1 species
UACAGAGGUGGCAAGCGUUGUUCGGAAUUACUGGGCGUAAAGGGCGCGUAGGCGGUUCGUUAAGUCCUGUGUGAAAUCCCCCCGGCUCAACUGGGGGAACUGCACAGGAAACUAGCGGGCUUGAGUUCGGGAGAGGGAAGCGGAAUUCCGGGUGUAGCGGUGAAAUGCGUAGAUAUCCGGAGGAACACCGGUGGCGAAGGCGGCUUGCCUGGACCGACACUGACGGCUGAGGCGCGAAAGCUAGGGGAGCAAACGGG